rnacentral:rRNA from 1 species
UACGGAGUGUGCAAGCGUUAAUCGGAAUUACUGGGCGUAAAGCGUGCGUAGGUGGUUCGUUAAGUCCGUUGUGAAAGCCCCGAGCUCAACUUGGGAAUUGCAGUGGAUACUGGCGAGCUAGAGUGCGGUAGAGGAAGGUGGAAUUCCCGGUGUAGCGGUGAAAUGCGUAGAGAUCGGGAGGAACACCAGUGGCGAAGGCGGCCUUCUGGACCAGCACUGACACUCAAGCACGAAAGCGUGGAGAGCAAACAGG